GACGAACGCUGGCGGCGUGCUUAACACAUGCAAGUCGAACGAAGUGGCGAACGGGUGAGUAACGCGUAAUCAACCUGCCCUUCAGAGGGGGACAACAGUUGGAAACGACUGCUUAUACCGCAUACCGACGGUGGGGAUGGCGUCUGAUUAGCUAGUUGGAGGGGGAAGGGCCCACCAAGGCGAUGAUCAGUAGCCGGUCUGGGAGGAUGAACGGCCACAAUGGGACUGAGGCACGGCCCAGACUCCUACGGGAGGCAGCAGUGGGGAAUCUUCCGAAAUGGACGAAAGUCUGACGGAGCAACGCCGCGUGAGUGAUGACGGCCUUCGGGUUGUAAAGCUCUGUUAAUCGGGACGCGGUACCGGAAUAGAAAGCCACGGCUAACUACGUGCCAGCAGCCGCGGUAAUAC
rnacentral:rRNA from 1 species